AGAGGGAUAGCUGGGUCAAAUGGUGGCUCCAUUCCAAAUUUUCCAAAAAAUCUCAAUACUGUUUUUCAUAUUGGCUGCACCAGUUUGCAAUCCCAUGAGCAGU
rnacentral:pre_miRNA from 1 species